rnacentral:rRNA from 1 species
CCUACGGGUGGCUGCAGUGGGGAAUAUUGCACAAUGGGGGAAACCCUGAUGCAGCGACGCCGCGUGAGUGAAGAAGUAAUUCGUUACGUAAAGCUCUAUCAGCAGGGAAGAAAAUGACGGUAUCUGAGUAAGAAGCGCCGGCUCACUACGUGCCACCAGCUGCGGUAAUAUGUAGGGGGGAAGCGUUAUCCGGAUUUACUGGGUGUAAAGGGGGCGUAGACGGGGCGCCAAGUCUGAAGUGAAAUGCCGCGGCGUAACUGCGGAACUGUAUUGGAAACUGGCGAUCUAGAGUGCGGGAGGGGUAAGCGGAAUUCCUAGUGUAGCGGUGAAAUGCGUAGAUAUUAGGAAGAACACCGGUGGCGAAGGCGGAUUACUGGACCGUAACUGACGUUGAGGCUCGAAAGCGUGGGGAGCAAACAGGAUUAGAUACCCUGGUAGUC